rnacentral:rRNA from 1 species
CUAACCUGCCCAAUGAGGAAUUCAAUGGCCGCAGUAUUUUAACUGUGCUAAGGUAGCAUAAUCAUUUGUCUUUUAAUUGAGGGCUGGAAUGAAAGGUUGGACGAGAUAUUAGCUUUCUUUGGUUUAAUUUUGGGAAUUUAAUUUUUGAGUUAAAAAGCUUAAAUUUAUUUGUUGGACGAGAAGACCCUAUAGAUCUUUAUAAUUUUAUAUUUUAGUAAUUUAGUGUGUAUGUUUAUUUUAAGUAAAAGAAUUAUUUGGUUGGGGUGACUGUAGAAUUUCAAUAACUUCUAUUGUAUUUAUUUCAUUGAUUGAUGUAUUUUUGAUCCAUAUUUUUAUGAU